UUGACCAUAUCACGGUGAAACACCGAUUCCCGUAUGAUCACUGAAGUUAAGCAUAGUCCUUCCUGGCCAGUACCUAGAUGGGUAACCGCUUGGGAAUAUCAUGUGCUGUAA